rnacentral:misc_RNA from 1 species
AUACCACUCUAAAGGCAAAAGUAUCAUGUGAAGUGGCUAGAAUUCCACUACUGGUGUAUAGUGUCAGAUUUUAAUUCCAUGUAAAUACAUAGCCAAGAAAGAAUGAACUAUAAAAAUCAGUGUUGCAAAAAUAUAGUUUUGCCAUUUGUAUUACAGUUGAAUAACAAACAUGGAGAUCAAUAAAUUUACAGCCAGCCUCUUUUUGCUUCAAUUGAUCAUGAGAUUUCCCAAUUAAAUAAAGAUUCAUUACCACACAGUAUAUAGUUUGUCAAGAAGCUGCAAUAAGUUGGGAAUUGCUGACGCUAAAUUAUUUAGAGAAGAUGGAUGAACGCGGAGGUUCGCCUGAAAGAGUGAAAGACCUUCACAAUUGCUUGGAGAGUGUGGUUAGGGUUAGCCCACUUGCUUAAAACACCUUUGUCAAUAUCGAUGUAACAAAAUCCUUCUCAUCCUUCCGUGUAUCAAAAUCCUGCAGAGUUGAU